UUAGUCUGGGGAAUUCAAAUCGUUAUGUUUAUGUGCAGUCAGAUACCUGAGUGCACCAGAUUUAAUUCAAAUUUAACGUGCAAACGGCUUAUUACAAGUACGUAACCACUGGCACUUCUGGAAGAAUGUAAUUGUAUUUGUUUUUGAAGUUAACUUAACAUCUUCAGUGGUAGCAACCAAGUAUGAAAAGGUUUUGCCUUCGGGGGGGGGGGGAAGUCUUCAUUCCUUUUGCUCCUUCAUGCUUUAGUAAGUCCAUUUGAGUGGGCAAAGAUAACGAGCAUUGGGCAACCAAAUCAAGAGUAUAUUCUCGUUUUAAUGUACUUUUAAUUUCAAGAUUGUAAAGAAAGGAACCCAAUUACACAAUUGGCAAAUGUUCAGGCUGGAUUUCCCGCUUUUAAUUAUUUGCAUUGUGAGUUUGCUUACUUGGAUUGGAAACUCUACCAAGAACUAAUCGUGCAGUUUACAUGAUUUCUCCACUACAAAUCUACUUGGAAGUAACUUGUAACUUGUACAUUGCCCAGCCCCCCCCCCCAUAUUGCCACACUUUGUAAUAUGGCACACACUUGGCACACUCCUUGCAAGCAGUGCUUUUGGUAAUCAGUUGUCAGGUGGGAGGCCAUACUGGUGACUGGUUUCUGGGCUGCUGGUCAUGUGCCCUGACUUCUCCAAAGUCACUUCUGUUAUAAAUGCCGGUGGCAGAACUGAAGUAAGAUGCUACGUUAGCAGCCUUGCCUUUUGUCAGUAAAAAAAACUUAAUAAGCCGACUAUGGUGGCAUGAGCUGACGUUUUUGUUGAGAAUACCAUUUUUGUAGCAGUAUUGAAACAGAGUUUUAAUAACAGGCUGCAAAUUCAAUAAGUGGGGCUUUAUAAAAAUCUUCCUUGAGACUUGUAUACAAGAUGUAAGAUCUGUUGUGGCACAGGUCUUAAUCACUUUUAAUAUGCAUUCCACAUGAACAUUUGCCAAGAAGUGGACAGUAUUGAGUUGAUGUGUCUUUGCUCAACUCAAGAAAUAAUGGAAAUGGGGGAAGAAACUUUUCUUACUCUUCCCAUUCAAUGUUUUGUUAUUUAGGUCAUUUCAAGAUAACCAUUGAGUGGCCCAACAGAUGCGUAUUGGAAAGUAUUUGGUUUAAAUAACAGAUUUAGAAAAUGUUAUGUCAGAUGGAGCAAAUGAAUUGAGAUUGUCUCCACUGGACAAAAUUUCAUCCAGGGAAAUUGCAAUGUUUCCGAGAUGUCUCACCAGUGGACAUAGGAAAGUUGUGGGGUUUUUCCUUAGUGCUUGAGUACCUACUCGGCAUCGCACUUAAUUGGAAGAAAAACUAGAUUGGAUGGUCUAUGUUUGAUUCAAGAAGGACUUGAAGGAGGUGCCCGAUCCUUGGAAUGACCCAACUUCAGGGUGUCAUGCCACUCCAGGCGCUGCCUUGAUGUGGUGUGACGGAGAAGGCAUAACCCCACACUGCGGUAUGGGUGCUCUCUCAAGCAUAAAGGGUGCUAACGUGAAGCAGACUACAUGAAGUUAACCUGCAUCGGUCUCGGCCAUUUUGUUUGACCAUCUCUUUGGCACAGUAUUAGGAGGCCAAUACACCCUCCAAGACACAUCGGCCUCAAGUACUCCUUUAAAAAAGUAGUGACUGUAUACAUGUAUAAUUAUGUACCCAUAUGUAUUACAUAGUUGUUACUUUACAGAAAAGGGGUGAUUAUAAGUACAGAUGUGUUUCACAAGAAUAAACACGUGCACAAUGUAAAAACAGGAACGAUACCCCUUUCCGUUCUAGUACAUUUAAAAAAAACCAAUGAACUAGUGCAGACCACAAAGUCCUUGCCAUCGAGGAUGACCUGAAAGUGUAACUGAUAGAGCAACUUAAUUGCACAGUUUGGAAGUGAAUGAAGUAAAACCGUUAUGAACUGUACAACUUAAUACCAGUCCGUAUUUUCCAUCUCAUUGUCUGAUCCUGCACCCCCCUCAGCAGUGUGGUGUGCUACAUCGUCAGCUUGGUGGUGUGGGGCAUGUGGUCGGUAUGGAUACGGCUCAACACCAUGCUCCAUCAUGGCCACACUGGCCCAUCACCUUUGAUGCAAUUUUAGGCUACAUUGUCAGACGACAUGUAGUAUUCGCAUCACUCUCACUGUAAGAAUUAAAAAUCUCAUAUUCUGCACUUAAAGUAUGUAUUUCAAACAAUGUACAUGUAGUUUUGAGCUUUUGUCCCUUGAUAUUUUGUGUAUGGAAAGCCUGAUGACAAAAAGUCUGAUUAUGACUCAGGUGGCCAACAAACACUACCUUGUACAUGUACGUGUAUCAUUGGAUAGCUAGCGCAUACAGUGAAACCCCAUCCCUGAAUGGCAUCAGUUCACAUAUACCGGUAUGCACACAGAAAGUUGCCCUCAUUUAUUUCAAUUAGACCUUAAUUGACAAUUUUAAAGUUUAAAAAUGAAUACUUAAGUCAUUCUGGUAGAUCACAAUCUGGUACUCAAAUUUUCUUGUCAGUGGUGACUUGUAUUACUGUAUGAGGUUUGUACAUACAUGGACAUGUACACUGGUAUGUCAGCUCUGACCUACGUACGUUUUGAGUUCAUAGUCACAUUGUUAGUCUUUUGUCCUCAAAAUUGUCCAAGGUUCACUGUAGCUGCCUUAUGCCUUAGAAGACUGCUCCCAAAUUUUCUUUCAUCACUUGGCUCACUGGAGCCCGAUCUUUAAACAACAGUGGUUCACACUCUUGGCCCAUCUUUUACCCAUUUUUUAUUUCAGUGACUUGACUCUGGAGUUUAUUUUUUUUUUUAGCUACAACUGAUCAAAGGCGUAACACAACACAAUUCAGACCAAAAAAAAAAAGAUCUAUGUGUAUUUCUUGGAAAAUGCUUGGAACACAUGGGCAUUGACUACUUCUCUACAGUGCCACAUGGCAGUCCAUACAUUCAGUGCCCCUCUGUCUUGACACGGAAGUAGUCAAUACAAACGUAUUUGUGGCAGCCGUUGCAAACUCUUGGGGUCCUCCUCCUCUAUACCGGUAGACGCAGUCUGCAUCCUCCGGUCUGCACCGGGGCUGCAGGCGCUCACACGGCCACCUCCUUACCCACUUAAAGGAAGGCAUCAAUGGUAUGUUGCCUGGAGCAUUUCUGGGUGUGGCCGUCAGAUGUCUAUCUGUGGCAUUGUAAGAGACGCGGUAAGUUCCUCAGGGAAAUCACGUCAUGUCGUUCUGCUGCGAGGAUUCAACUGCUUAUAGGUGCAUUUGUUAUUAGUUUUAUCCAGGGCGAUCUCGUCUCUUUCAUAAUGCAUCUUUGUGUCAAUGUCUUCUUUGGUGUCACAUUGAGGCAGAGCAGAACUCUUUUUAAUUUUUAGGAAGGUGUUAAUGUAUUCGGUGAAAGGACCACCAAAUUUGGUGAAAGGAGCAUAUUGUUUUCUUUGCUGAAAGUACCAUGUGGUACGCCCAAACACAAAGACCCGGCUCGCUUGGUUUCAUUUGGAUCUCGUCAUCAGCAGCCAGUAACCAUCUGUACAAGUGUUUCUUUAUGACAUUGACGUCGUACUUACUGGAGUUGAAUCCGAUGGCGGGCAUUUUGCGCAGGUAGUCGUUCAACUCCUGACGCAGGUUUUCCAUGUAGCCUAUCUGGGAAGGGACUUGUCGUCUAGGUAGUGGUCAUCUUCCAGUUAGUGGAUGCGGAUGAAUGCACCCUCAAACAGGUACAACCUGCGUUCGUAGGCCUCUUCACCGAUCUUGUACAUGUAGACCAGCAUGUUCUUCACAAGUUCAGCCGGGUUGCCAUCCAUCACGAAGCAUUUCAUGUCCUCGAAACCAGGAACAUUGCUGGCUACACUGACGCUGAUCAGUUCGUGGCGGUCACACCAGGUUAGCUUUCCGUCGUGGUCUGCGUCUCCAGGCAACUGCUCAAAAUAACACUUUUCAAUGUCAAUACCCAUUUCAGCCAGUUUGUCAAAGACUGACUUGCACAGGGCGUAAACACCACCCAGAAACUUGUGCCUUACAUUGGCAUCGCACUUGGGCUCCUGGCAUUGGAGGUUGAAGGUUUUAGUAAACAUUAUCCUACAUUUCUGACACUCGAACACCCGGCUAUACGCGUUCAUAUCGGCAAUGUACGAGAAGUGGUUACCAUACAGGUUUACGCGUAGCGUGGUCGAGUACUUCUGAAAUGAACGGUGCGCUUUAACAUCGCCUUAGGACUUUGGUUCACGCGUGGCACCGAAGUCGGUGUCGAGAGGCUGUACACCUGGAUUUUUACCUCGAGCAGGUCUUCCGCCAUGGCCAGAUUGUCCAACGUCAUACCUUUGGGGAGUUGGCUCAAAGUGCGCCGUGGUGAUGUGACUUCUCACUGAAUUAGUACGGGUGAAUGCCUUUCCACACACAGGACAUCGGUGCUCUUUUCUGCCGUCCCUGGUGGAAGGGAGAGCUCAAAGUGCAGGAGCAUGCCAGUGGCUGCAGCCGGGCUGGUCUUCAUCCACGAUGGCGACGGAAAGGGGAUGUUGGAUCGGGUCAGCUGUUGCCAUAUUCUUGGGCUCGGGUUUGGCACUAUGGUGAUGCUGACACAGAUGGUGCCACAUGUUAUCCCGUCGCUUGAAUGUUGCAUCGCACACGUGACAGGAAAAUCCCUUUGUAGUGUCGUGCAGGUUGGCGUGAUGCCGCAUAGAAUUUCGUCGGGUAAACUUCUUUUCGCACUCCGGACAUUGGUAGACACUGCCCGGUCUCUCGGCAUUUUUCCCUUGGAGCUGGGGGGAGGAACUGCUAUUUUUCUGAAACCUCUUAGGUUCUGUUUGAGUGAAAAUACAAAUUAAAGGGAGUUAACCCGGUAUAUCCCAGACCAUACAGAAGUUGAGAAAAAAUUGAGUACACAUUUUUUUACAACCUUUUUGGAUUAAAAUUAAAAUAAAACGAACAUAAUUUUUUUUAAUUACUGUUUUUUUAAAUCAACAUAUGUAGCAUAUAUGCUACAGAAGUUAAUAAUGACUUGAAUUUAAAUAUUAUACACAUGAAGAUAUGCUUCAAAAACACAUAGUGUCCUCAACAGUGACACAACUUUGUCAUACAUGUAACAUUUGGGAUGGGUAAAGGUAGGGGUUCCAUUAUGUGAGUACUGUAGUUCUUUUGAUUUUACAUAAAGUAUGUAACGCACUGCACUGCUUUGGUUUUUUUGGGACAAGCCAUCUUUCCUGACUACUUCAAACCAGACUGAUGUCCUUUUGGAAUGAUGUCCCAUUUUUUGAAGGGUGGGGGAGAGGGGGGUAUUUCAACAUGUUGCACAAUAUCAAUGGAAAACAAUGACAUCAUCAUGACAUCGUGACAUCAACCCUAAAAAUAGAUUGAUUGAUAAAUAAAAAAACCUGUUUCUGUCGUAAUGAUACCAAUGCUUCAUUUACAAGUCUUGGAAUGGAUGUUUAUUGAAUUCACUGCCUUUAUCUGUGUGAAUCAUCACAGGAAGUUGCUUGCCAUCCAGGCCUGCAUUAUUCAAGAAUAAUAUCAGGACUGAUAAGAACAAUAUUUAUAAAGUGUUUACACCAAACAUCAAAGCACUGUACAUGAAAAAAAACUAGGAAUUACGUAGGUAGGUUUUAUUCAGCUGUUCAUUGAAGUGGUGAUAGAUGGGGCUGCCCUGUUUUGGGUUGGACUAAAAUGCCUAUUCACACACACUGCCUGUAAACUAAAUCUUGAUUCACCUCACGUUUGGUUAUAUACACUAACCCUCUCAAAGUGGCAUUCUGCCAAAAAAACGUGUUCUGUUUUCCGUACCAUAUGCAAGUUAAUUGAGGGUGAUCUUUUAACAUGUUUAACUUCUGCUGGGAAACCAUGACUAGUUACUCUGCAUUGAGAUGGCACAUUGUUAAAGAACCCGCAUGCCACUUUGAGCCCGGCUGGCACUUCUGGGGCUGAAAGGGUUAUUUCACUGCUGGUGUUUAAUUAAAGUUGUCUUUCAUCUCUCCACCUUUCAUUAGAUGUGUUGAAUUCCUGCUUUCCCAAUCUGUUGGACCAAGUUCCUUUACAUUUCUCGUACUCGUGUAUCAUUCUGCUAUUCUUCCUCCUCCCUGAAGUCUUUUAGAACCUACAUUGGUCUUUUUCUGCUCCCUGACAUCGAAGCCAUACAACUCACUUUGGCCUGGACUUCAUCCCUAGGGAAGGUCAUCUCUACGUGUACUCAACUACAUGUACGUGGUGGUGCCCAUCAACACUGGCUGUCACACCCUUACUACAUGCCCACACCACCAGCCCUUGACUGCCAUCACAGGGCAAAGCCUGAAUACUGACUACACAUUCACCAUCAAAACUGCUAGCCGUCAGGUCAUUCUUACAGUGGUAGAGGUGGACUUUGAAGAUUGAGAGAGCGGGGUAGUUGCCAGUAUCGAACAGGCUAGCUGCCAGGGACAUCACGCCACCGUCGCUCGGUGUCAAACAGCACUUUCUGUUGGUGUGGGAACAACUGCAGGCUCCUUCUUGGCCAUUACGACUACGGCGUCAGCGUUGACCAACCCACUCGACAUCACAUCCCAUGAAACCUUUGCGGUAUCAGUUACUGCCCUGGUUGAUGGACAGGAGGGUCUUCCAAUGGUCUCAACACUGAGAACUUGACCAGAUGGUACAGGACAUCACCAUCUUCCAGACCUGCCUUAGGACAGCUUUCACCACCUAGCACCCAUCCACAUUGCCUCCGGCCAUCCUGGUGUUCCGUAUCCUCAACACCCACCGCCAUAUGUAAGACAUCGUCAGGUGGAAGCUGAACACAUGCAGAGGAGCAGAUCUGCAGUCGGGAGUAGGAGCAAGCCCUCGCCUCCUUCGACAAAGACAAGUAAAGCAAGGGGGAGCCUACUGGGCCGAGGAGAGAUGAGGAUAGCUGAGGAGGAACAGUUUCCAAGAUAUCAUGAGAGGUGUUCGUCAGCAGCUGCUGAUAGAGGCAAGGAAAGGACUCGGUCUUCCCAGCAAUUCGGUUCCUCGCUUGCGCCGUAGUGACAGAGCAAAAGUCUGCAUACACUGGCAUACACACACUGCAGAGGACUACAAAAUACAGACACCCAGAAAAACUUAUGAAUCACAUUCCUUCUAGGGCAAACAUACAGUGGUUUUGAAGACGGAACACUGGCAUUUGAGCAAAAUAACAGGGAUGACACAGAAGCAUGGAAAGUAAGAAAAACUGCUGAUCUGCAUGAAAUUGAGGGGGUUGAACUACAUUGUAUAUACGUCCCAAGAAUGGAGCUUUGGGCAGAACAUUGGGUAUGACUGAAAAGGUAGCUUUGUAAAUGAAAUACAGUUUUUCUGUUUGCUUUUUAAGGAAUUACUACUCUCCUUUAUGUGUCCGUGUACUUUUUGAUACAUUGACUGUCAUGAGCAUACAUGUAUUUCGUGCAUUGAACAGCAUUCAUGUGUUGAGCAUGCCUGAGUUAUCAACAAGGCAUAAAUGCAACCGUAUUUGUGACCUCAUCCUUGCAUGGGUCUUGCGCACCUAACUGAGCUGCAAGUCAGUCACUUGGGGAACUAUCCCACAAUACACUGCAAAAACAAUACAGCUUCUUUUUUAACGACAGAGUUGAUACGACUGGAAAUACAAUGAAGAAUCACUGCAUGUAGAGGCAGAAUGGUUUAAGUUGUGCAACAUGGAGGCCAGAAAAUAUUCACCAUUUGGAAAGACUGUACACUGCAGAAAUCUAGUUUUGUGCUAAGCUGUGAUCAGCUUGCAUGAAAAAGUAAUGCAAUGGAGCAACAUGGUUUUUUUUUAUGACCAGUCAGUUUUGUUUGUAAACAACCCCCUGGGGAAGCCUAAAGCUCUUUUAAUCCCUCUAAAUGGUUAAUUUGAGUUCCAGGAAACACUUGCAUGACAUUUUUAUGUUAUCUUUGAUUUUAAAUGUCCUUUUAUGUCCCUUUUUCUAUAAUGGGUUCAUUAAGAACUGGGUUUUUUCAUUUUAGUGUAAGAAAAUAGCCAAAUUUCUUUUCCAACUGUGGCAAGAGAACAGAAUAACAAAGACAGGAAAUGAGUGCAUUGGUAUUGUAUUGUUCAAACACACUCAAACAAAUCAUCAAACUAAAAGAAAACAAUUUAGAAACAAAUGCAAUAAAUGUGAAGUAAAUUUAUAACAAGCACAAAAGGGAAAAAAAGAAAACACCAAUAAAAUCAAGUUAAUCACGCAUAAAGAACACAAUUGGGGAAUAAAGACAACAAUCAUUUUGUUAAUUUGGAAAUCUGAAAAAGCUAACUGCAAAUGAGAAAAAUCAAAGGCAUAAAACACUGUCAUUGCUUUCGUGAUUUGAAAAAAUACAAACUAAAAAAAAAGCCAUCAGGAAAGUAAAAAAAAGAAAGUGAAUUAGU
rnacentral:lncRNA from 1 species